UUUGGAAACAAGGUCUCUCACUGGCCUUGAGUUUGCAGAUUAAACUAGGUUGACUGGUCAGUGACAGCCAUCCUCCUGUCUCUGUAUCUUCCUAUCUGAGAUGACAAAUACAUGCAACUGUACCUAGCUUUUUAUAUGGGUGCUGGAGUUUGACUGUAGGUUCUUUUAGCACUCAGUCUUUAGUUUCUACAGUACCAUUCUCUGUAUCAAAGCUUUCUGAAAACCACUGUAAAAAGGAUAAAUAUCCAGCAAGUGUUGUUCUUCCUCCAUUGGUAGGAAGCACGGGGUCAGAUGUGACCCAACAUUUUUCUCAUGACUCAGCAUCAGUAUUUUGACUCUAUUAUCUCUAACUACAAGUCAGUCUCAGAAGGAGACCCCCAGGCAUCUGAACUUAGAAGAACUGAGUGUGUCCCCUCUGACAGUGCUCAUUUCUGGCCUGGUUUCUCCAGCCCUGCUUCUUGUAGAUAUGUAGGUAAGUAUAUCAAGUCUAAUUGCAUGCCCUUUGUGGCUAAGACCAUUUCCUUGAUGUCAUGUAUUACACUAGAAAUAAACAGAUUAAAUUAGCCUCCUUAAGGUGAACUCCUGAAGGACAUUUGUUUUGGACAUGGAGGUAGGCUUCGUGUCUAUUUUACUGUUCUUCCUCUACAAAGAAUAUCAACUUAGUUUAAACAUGCCCUCACAAAUGCAAAAAUCUUUGUACUGUUUUUAUUGUUUUAAAGACAAGAUCUCUUGUAGCCUAUACUUGCUUCAUGUAGCUGAGGUUGAUCUUGAACUCCUGAUCUUCCUGCCUCUUUCUCUGAGUGCUAGGAUUGAUUACAGGCCUGUGCCAACCGGCCUGGCUGCAAUGCUGAUCGUUUUUGUUUGCUUUUCAUUGUUGCUGCUUCAUUCAAGAGGGGAAAAAUGGAUUGUGAGAACAUUGCCUUCUGAGUAUUUUGAAUACUUCAAUUCGCAAUGAACAUUGUAUCCCAGUCUAUUAUUUUGGAGGAAAUACCAUUUUAAGAGACAGUUUCCUUUGGGAAUAGUUCUAGGAAUAGUGACUUUACAUAUGUGUGAAUGCAUGUAUAUGCAUAUAUACAUAUUUACAUAUAAAUACAUAACUAUGAAUUCACUUUUAUUCUAUAUUAUUUCUGAGAGCAGCAGUGACAACAGGAGAGGAAAAUGGGUAAAAAUCCGUGGGCCUACCUGACAGUCUUCAGUACUCUCUGGUAUCAAUGAACAGAUCAGGACUUUUGUAGAGCUCUUUGGAAACAUCUUGAAAGUGUCCUUUUGAUAGAGAUGGUGGAUGGGUGACCUGUCCUUGGUGGUGAGUGUCAGCUAAGGCUGGCAUGCUCUGUUUGCAGUCACAGUCUUGGAAGACUCUGGAGUUUGCCUUUAGCGUGUGAAGGUGAGUGGUUUUUGAAGGAGUCUGUCAAGGACACUGGAAAUCAGAUAUGUGCUUCCAACCAUGCAUUCAUAAAAUCCUCCACGAUAACUGGAAAGAAAAAAACUUAGCUUGGUUCCAGGGGACAUGACUCAACUUCUGUUCUGCAAAGAUCUCAAUUAAGGAAAGUCUUAUCUUGUAGCCUGGCCCUGGGCUGAGGCUUGGCCAGGGAAGGAAGGCCUUUCAGGUUAAUUUAAGCCCCAGAGAGGCAGUAAAAGAGUUUAAGAGUUGCUGCUGUUGCUGAUCUCACAGAAGCAGGGCCUGCCUCCCUGGUAAAACUUAAAGGGCAUCGAAAGUUCAUGCUGUCCCUGGUCUCCCUCCAAACCCCCUGACUCUCCUGCAGAUAGUCGUGAUUAGAGAUGCUGGGCAAGGGUGCUAUCUCUAGGUGGCCCCAGUAAACAAGCCUAUCCCUCACUGGAACCUAUUACUAAUUCCCUCUGCGAAUACAAGCAGACAAAUAAGUCAGGCAGCCCUCAUCAGCCUCUUACCUGAAAUACUAGAGGGACCCAUUUCUAAGUAGGAAAUCCCAGGUCAGUAGGGGCUUGAUAUUAGUUACUUAUACAUUGCUGUGUGUGUCCAACUUACCUGAUAUCCAACUUAAGGGUGGAAAGAUAUUUUGGCUCAUGAUUUCAGAGCAUUUCAGUCCACCACAGGAGGAAAAGCAUGAUGACUGUGUGUGGCACCGGGCUGUUCACAUCAUAGCAGACCAUGAACUCAAUUUUUAUGCUACAAGGCUUUGGGCUUAGCAGAUUUUCAGGAGAAAUGGAUAUUAAAACAUUGGUAACUUUCCAGGAUGACACUGAUAGUUUACAUUUUUUUGCUAGGGUUUUACAUUUUCCUUCAUUGCUUUCAAAGAAGGAUAUUAGUACAAGAGACAGUCAUUUGAAUCCCAGCCGUUGAUGGAAGUCCGUCCACACACUGCUUCUUGUUUACUGUGGCAGCUACUUCCCAUGGAAAGAAAUUGAAUGAGAAAGCUGCUGACCAUAUGAGCACUGGUUUAUGCUGUUUGGAUCUCAAGAGAUUGAUCUCAGGCAAUCAAGCUUGGCCUACAAGUACUUUUACCUACUGAGCCAUCUAGCCAGUCCUGAGUUGAUUCCUACUAACACUUCCCCUCCCCAAAGGACACACAGCUUUGGAGACAACGAAGACAGAGUCUGGCUUCUUACCGAGUGUCGGAGAAGCAGCUCCCUAGCAACUGCCGAUAGAAGUCGUCAUUAGCAGGCUUUUCUCCACCUCCCUGUGGAGCUGGCUGAUGUGACUGGUAAUCUGAACAUGGCAUUUUGCCAAGCACAGGAUGGAUGUCUAAGAGGAUGUGAGAAAAGCCAAACCUGGGGGAUGGAGCUACUCAAGGCAGUUUCUGAUGAGUCAGCAUGGGAAAGACUUCAGGACUGGAGGCUACAAAGAUGAACAGUGCCCAAGGCAGUCAGGUGCCCAAGAAUGGAGAUAGAAUGAUACCAUUCCUUGGCAAUUCUACCCAUGUUUGAGGAUGCUAUGCUAGUUGCCAUGGAGACAAAGAGGGCAGGGGAGAAGAAUCUUUGAUGUAGCAUAUUCAAAGACAGGGCUGGAAAUGAAUCUGUUGGCAAAGUGCAUCACAUGAAAUAAACCAGACCUGGUGUCUCAUGCCUAUAAUCCCAGCAUUGAAGAGAGAGGAUUAGAAGUUGAAGGUCAUCAGCAACUACAUAGAAAAUUCUAGAUCAGCCUUGAUUACACGGCUGUCUCCACAAGUCAAAACAGGGCCAUUGAGACAGCUGAAGGGGUGAGGGUGUUCACUGCCCUGAAACCCAAGAGGUGAAAAAUAGCUGACUGCUGCAAGUUCUCUUUAGACCUCUAUGUGUGACCUCUACACGAAUACCCCACCCAAAAUAAAUAAAUAAAUAAAUAAAUAAAUAAAUAAAUAAAUAAAUACCAAACCCCAGAAGAAUGU